GCUUGUUCAAUAACAAUAACCUAGGUCAGAACGUUAGCAUAAUAGGCACGCUAUACAGUGUUUUGUCCGAGCUCAUACAGAAGUCAUAUAUUAUUUAAACUAUAACUAAAACUACAAUUGAUAUAAUCCGAAAUAAGAUCAGGCAUAGCCGACGACAAAGGAGAUUACCGAGUUAGCAACUGAAACGGUAUUGAGCACAAAAAAGUUCUUUAGCUGAUCAACACAACACCGUGAGAACAAAUCUGCUGAAAGAAAUGUAGCUGUCAUUAACCUGAUCCAGUUGCUGCUCGUCGUAACAGGAAUGUUUUAACAAAAGUCAUCAGCUCAUCCGCUGCGAUUCUUGACUUAUCUGUAACCAAACUGUUGGAUAGAUUAGACGUAGCCACGCCUUCAGUAACGGCGUGGACUUAUUAUGGCAACCCCAAAUUAUGAGAACACACAAACUGUUGUCCCGGCGCAUUAACCUUUUCGGCAGGUGUUAUAAAAAGAGAAACAUCGUCUACAUCUCCAGACGAGACCAGCGGAGGAGCAUAUUUAGGGUUUUCUUAAGAACCUUCGUCAGGGAUCAUACUGGCUUUGAGUGUUGUUAUUCGCACGCGUACGACAAGACACAUGUACAAUCUCGAGAACAACAGAAAACGACGAAAACACCUGAUCGCUUCCACAUACAACAAAAAAAAACGAAUAAAAUGAAGAUGUCAAUAAUAAAAAAAUUCUAUGCAAUAAAACACCAAACAUCACACAAACAAAAAAUAUGGCAAGUGUAAUGAGCAAACUGCAACAACACGACACGCCUAAGAGUCUCUCCAACAUGGGAACCAGCUGGUAU